rnacentral:rRNA from 1 species
GACGAACGCUGGCGGCGUGCUUAACACAUGCAAGUCGAACGGAAAGGCCUCUUUCGGGGGGUACUCGAGUGGCGAACGGGUGAGUAACACGUGAGUAACCUGCCCUUGACUUUGGGAUAACUUCAGGAAACUGGGGCUAAUACCGGAUAGGAGCUCCUGCUGCAUGGUGGGGGUUGGAAAGUUUCGGCGGUUGGGGAUGGACUCGCGGCUUAUCAGCUUGUUGGUGGGGUAGUGGCUUACCAAGGCUUUGACGGGUAGCCGGCCUGAGAGGGUGACCGGCCACAUUGGGACUGAGAGACGGCCCAGACUCCUACGGGUGGCAGCAGUGGGGAAGAUUGCACAAUGGGUGGAAGCCUGAUGCAGCAACGCCGUGUGCGGGAUGACGGCCUUCGGGUUGUAAACCGCUUUCGCUCAUGACGAAGCUUUGUGUGACGGUAGUGGGUAAAGAAGCACCGGCUAACUACGUG